rnacentral:rRNA from 1 species
CACGUAGGGCGCAAGCGUUGUCCGGAAUUAUUGGGCGUAAAGAGCUCGUAGGCGGUCUGUUGCGUCCGCUGUGAAAACUCGGGGCUUAACCCCCGAGCCUGCAGUGGAUACGGGCAGACUAGAGGUAGGUAGGGGAGAAUGGAAUUCCCGGUGUAGUGGUGGAAUGCGUAGAUAUCGGGAGGAACACCAGUGGCGAAGGCGACUUCCUGGACCUGUUCUGACGCUGAGGAGCGAAAGCGUGGGGAGCGAUCCGG